rnacentral:rRNA from 1 species
CACCGGCGGCUCGAGUGGUGGCCACUUUUAUUGGGUCUAAAGCGUCCGUAGCCGGCUUGGCAAGUCCCCUGGGAAAUCUGGCGGCUUAACCGUCAGGCGUCCAGAGGAUACUGCCAGGCUUGGGACCGGGAGAGGUGAGAGGUACCUCAGGGGUAGGGGUGAAAUCUUGUGAUCCCUGAGGGACCACCAGUGGCGAAGGCGUCUCACUAGAACGGGUCCGACGGUGAGGGACGAAGGCCAGGGGAGCAAACCGG